AGAUCCAUCUGCUUGUGUCCAAAUGAAAUCUCAGCCUGCCUGUCUUGCAUUUCCUCUUGAUGUGUCAUCCUCAGCUCCAGUUCAAGGAAGAAAAAACUCAGCUGUUCAUCCUUCAUCACAACUCUUAGCUGUUAAUCAACAAUCUCUUCCUCUUUUGGAGAAGCUCUGCUGUUCUGACAGGGAAGGUUUACUCUCUUCUGGUUUCUGUCUUCCAUUCCUGCGGGACAGUUUUUCCCUUGCAGUGGAGCCAAGUGGAUGUGGCAGAAGAUAACUCAGUCCCAGGCAGAACAAGUUUCCUUUUCCUAUUGGCCUUGCUUGAUUUUUUCCAGUGUUUGCUCAAGGUCCAGCAGGCUGCAGGUCUGAUUAUAAUUACUGGGAUUUGUCAGGACUGUGAAGUGUUUGUGGAUAUGUGUCUUCUUGUUGGACUGAAAAAAGAGGGCUGUGAUCAUCUUCUAUUAUUUCCAGCCCCAUGAUUGGGCUCACCGUGUCAGUGGUUAUGUCCAGAGAGCCACAAGACUGUAUUUCAUCCCAUUUGCACAAAUGAUGAUAAAUCAUAGCUGCUAAGAAAAGGAGCGAAAUCAGAUUUGCUAUCCAACAUACUUCUUGUUAGUGGUGGUUGGAAGAACAUUGCAACUCUCAUCUCUGGAAUGCAGACAGUGGGUGGCUGAAUAGCAUUUUUAUGGGGAGACUUCAGCUGACUUCCAUGGAAGCGAGACUAGGAUCAGUGCGAUAUCCAUCCUGGAAGGUGGACCUUUCUAUUCACACAAAAGCGUCCAAUACCACAGUGGAUCAAUUCACUGGAGAUGAAGACAAUCAUUUAAAACAAGGAUGGAGUGCACAUUUAAUUUACUCCCCUGGCAUUCUUCUGGGAUUUCCAUCUUCAGUAAGGACCGGUGGCUGCUGCUGGUGCCCAGUUGUUUCAUGGGUGCUGAUUAAGUGCUGUUUACACAGUGAAAGAGACAGUCUUUUUGGUGGUAUUGAUUCAACAAAAGACGUCUGUCAGGUGGGAGGAUGUGUGGGUGUGCCAGUACCAGAUGAUUUCCCCGUGCACCUACAUCCCAGCAUUGCUAACAAGUGUUUCAGUGACUUGCUUCUUACUACUGAAAGUGAUACAGAACAAAAGGGCAGAUGGCACACCCUGUGCAAGUCUAGUAUGCCCAUGGACAACAAAUAACACGAGUUGCAUGAAUCUAUGCUUGUGGUGUUGUGGCAAUUUGAGUGUGAAAGCUUAAUGGAACUUAUAAUAACAUCAGAUUAUCUUUUGCUGGAACGGUGCCCAUGUUCUGGGAAAGCCAUUAUGAAGCUAUUGUCUUCUUUUAAUUGAAUUUGAAACCAUCCACUCUUUUAUAAUGUCAGCUGCUGCAUCUUACUACUGAGAGAAUCAAUUUGAAAAAAACCCACAAAAC
rnacentral:lncRNA from 7 species